rnacentral:piRNA from 1 species
UCGUUCGAGUGUUGCCACACGUGGUGGU